UGCCACAGAAGAAGCCGAAGAAGGAGAAAUUAGAGGGGGUGGUAAAAGGAUGGCAGCUGGGAGAAGAGCCAGGUAUGCCAUUUGAGGAGAUGAGGAUAGACUGGAGGGGCAACAGGAGAACUUUCUAAUACAGAAGGGUGGAGAGAACUGCCAGAACACUGAGAGGAUCAGGAGUUCCAGCAAAUUUCUUCAGGCACCUUUGAGCUUUAAGCUACCACAGAGACCAGC